AGUUGGUGAGGUAAGGGCUUACCAAGGCGACGACGGAUAGCCGGCGUGAGAGCGUGGCCGGCCACAAGGACACUGAGAUACGGGUCCUACUCCUACGGGAGGCAGCAGUGCGGAAUUUUAGAUAAUGGAGGGAACUCUGAUCUAGCGACGCCGCGUGCAGGAAGAAGGUCUUCGGAUUGUAAACUGCUGUGGUAAGGGAAAAAUGCUAUGUAGAGUGGAAAGCUACAUAGAGGGAUGGUACCUUACUAGAAAGCCCCGGCUAACUACGUGCCAGCAGCCGCGGUAAUACGUAGGGGGCGAGCGUUACCCGGAAUCACUGGGCGUAAAGGGAGCGUAGGUGGCCUAACAUGUCAACUGUGAAAACCCGGAGCUCAACUCCGGACUUGCAGUUGAAACUGGUAGGCUUGAGGACGGUAGAGGAAGACGGAACUGCCAGUGUAGGGGUAAAAUCCUUAGAUAUUGGCAGGAACGCCGGUGACGAAGGUGGUUUUCUGGGCCGGUUCUGACACUGAUGCUCGAAAGCCAGGGGAGCGAACGGGAUUAGAUACCCCGGUAGUCCUGGCCCUAAACGAUGUUCACUAGGUGUGGGGAGCGGAAAGCUCUCCGUGCUAAAGCUAACGCGAUA
rnacentral:rRNA from 1 species